GGAGAAGCGAAGAUCGUGGAACAACAGGGUACUCUUGCAUAUGAGGCAGAAAUUGGUUUUGAAAGGCUUGCAGAAACGUCUGGUCAUGUGUGUGGCAAACCUGAAACAAGAACUGAAGAUGCCAAGGUUGCUAACACAGCAAACCUGCUGCUGCUGCUGGAAAAGAGGGAAAAGCUUUGAGCUUUUCUAGGUUGGAUGUGUUUGCUGCUGAACCAUUUGAGAACUUACCACUCCCCUUGCUACAAAGAGAACAAGAA